GACGAACGCUGGCGGCGUGCUUAACACAUGCAAGUCGAACGGUGAAGGGACCAGCUUGCUGGUUCUGGAUGAGUGGCGAACGGGUGAGUAACACGUGAGUAACCUGCCCCCUUCUUCUGGAUAACCGCAUGAAAGUGUGGCUAAUACGGGAUAUUCUGGGUCUGUCGCAUGGCGGGCCCGGGAAAGAUAUUGCUUCGGUGGGGGAUGGGCUCGCGGCCUAUCAGCUUGUUGGUGGGGUGAUGGCCUACCAAGGCGGUGACGGGUAGCCGGCCUGAGGGGGGGGGCGGUCACAGUGGGACUGGGAAACGGGCCAGAGUGCUACGGGAGGGAGCAGUGGGGGAUAUUGCAGAAUGGGAGCAAGCCUGAUGCAGCGACGCCGCGUGAGGGAUGGAGGCGUUCGGGUUGUAAGCCUCUUUCGCCAGUGAAGCAGGCCUGCUCCUUGUGGGUGGGUUGACGGUAGCUGGAUAAGAAGCGCCGGCUAACUACGUG
rnacentral:rRNA from 1 species